CCGCUUACCAUUUAAGGAAGGGCAAGUGGAGCUUAAAAGGGAGCUUGAGAAGCCCAGGCCUUUGGAAUCAUUGGGUGGUGUCAUUCAUCAACACAGAGUCGAUUAGGAUGCUAGCACUUUUCUGGGUUGUGCGGAAAACUUUCAAUAGAUGCCAUGGAGUGGAAGCUAAUUGUUAGACUAGUAAACAGGUUCUUCUGCUCAGUAGAAAUACUGAUAUAAGGAAUCCCAAAGUCUGGUGGGAUCCUUUCAAAGUCUCAGCUGUGCAACAAUGGAGAACGCUGCUGAACUCCCAGAAUCCCAACAUGAAAGAUGAGCUUUUGGGAGUUGUAGUUCAAGAAAGCAAAUCUCUUCACCUUUGGUUUUGUGCUACUUUGGAGCAGAGUUUGGGCGAUAGAGUUCUCCUAGCUUUCCUAAAUGGGGGUUUGGGAUUAUAUUUAGUUGUUGUCCCUCUAAUAAAGAAAGGUAUUCACCAAAGGAACAGAGAGCAGCUCCCCACUGCCAUGCGCCUUUCCAGACUGUUUGAAAGGCUCUCCCCAUCUCUGAAGAAGAUUGGGAAGAUGCAGGAACAAGGAGGAAUGUCUGGCUAUCACCUUACCUCCAUAUUGAUGAAUGAUGUAGAGCGAUAUGCUGCCAAGACACCAUUCUUCGUGUUCUUCUGUGUCACAGACUCCUGAACUUUCAGCCACAAGCUACAAGUAGACUACUGAAUACAUUCAGCUAAGGUGCCCUUACAAGGCCACAACGAAACCUUUUGGGGGUCCUUUUACUACCUCUGAGACAUUCCAAUAUACGGAAAGAGACCCCAAAAGACCAGGGUAUACCAGUCAGCAACUCUAAAAAAAAAAUAAAAAAAAAUCCAAUGUUCCUUUUCUUAGGAAGAAGAUUUUUUUUUGUAAGAGAUCUAAAAAUAAUUCAUAGCAUUUUUAAAAAAAGAGGUCUUCUGAAUAUCCUAAGAAAUGUUCUAACUCACUCAUGGGCAGAGAAGUGUACCGAGUAAGAGUCAGACUGAUAUUUUUGAAUUCUCCUUUAUUCAGCAGACUUAUACUUGCUAUAUAAAAAUUAAAAAAAACCCAUCAUAAAUGGGGAUGUGAUGUAUUAAAAAAGAAAAAGAAGGUGAAAAGUCAUUAUUAUGUCAAAGACAAUGAAUAAAGAACUUUUAAUUACAUGUUUGAAGACCAUAAUCAAAAAGCUUUUGCUAAUUUGAUAUCUAUUGCCAUCAAACUAUUUUAAAGGUCUGCCCCCUC